GUGCCAGCCGCCGCGGUAAUACAGAGGGUGCGAGCGUUAAUCGGAAUUACUGGGCGUAAAGCGAGUGUAGGUGGCUCAUUAAGUCACAUGUGAAAUCCCCGGGCUUAACCUGGGAACUGCAUGUGAUACUGGUGGUGCUAGAAUAUGUGAGAGGGAAGUAGAAUUCCAGGUGUAGCGGUGAAAUGCGUAGAGAUCUGGAGGAAUACCGAUGGCGAAGGCUGCUUCCUGGCAUAAUAUUGACACUGAGAUUCGAAAGCGUGGGUAGCAAACAGGAUUAUAUACCCUGGUAGUCCACGCCGUAAACGAUGUCUACUAGGCGGUGGGGUCCUUGAGACUUUAGUGUCGCAGUUAACGCGAUAAGUAGACCGCCUGGGAAGUACGGCCGCAAGGUUAAAACUCAAAUGAAUUGACGGGGGCCCGCACAAGCGGGGAGAGCAUGUGGUUUAAUUCGAUGAACGCGAAGAACCUUACCUGGUCUUGACAUAGUGAGAAUCCUGCAGAGAUGCGGGAGUGCCUUCUGGAAUUCACAUACAGGUGCUGCAUGUGUGUCGUCAGCUCGUGUCGUGAGAUGUUGUGAUAAGUCCCGCAACGAGCGCCACUCUUUUCCUUACUUGAGAGUGGAUUAUGCCGCGAACUUUAGAGAUACUGCGAGAGACAGAAUGAAGGAGGGCGGGGACGACAGUCAGUCAUCAUGGUCCUUUACUGACCAGAGCUACAUACGUGCUACACUGGUAGAUACAGAGGGUUGCUACCCAGCGAUGUGAAGCUAUCUCACAAGCUAUCGUAGUCUGCAUGGUAGUCUGCACUCGACUGCAUGGAGAUCGAUCGCUAGCAUCGCAGAUCAUAAUGCUGCGAUGCAAUACGUGCCGGUGCUUUGCACUCGACCGUCAGUGCAAGGAUG
rnacentral:rRNA from 1 species